AUCCUAUCAUGUCCCAAAAUUCUCCAGUUGAAAGAAAUAUUAUCCAGCACUAACUUGUUCCAACAGGUCUUGUUUGCCCACAACCAAAAGGCGACCAUCUUCGUCAUCAUCGCUCACGGCACUGACCAUCGAGGCCACAGUGGGCAUGAGAAGUGCGCAUCGCCCAAGACUUGGACCGCUUCAAAGUAGCGCAAGCUGCCAUGGCCAUCUUCUUCCUCCUCCGCUGCUUUUGCGCCCGUGGUGCCAGGUGAGUGGCUGCACUGCGUUUUUUUGGCAUGAACAGAAGCGACGCAGGGGCAUGGACUUGACUGGCCGAGAUGAGAUGACAGCGGCCUCGGCAGGAUGGCAGGGGAAACGGCUCGGCAGGAUGGCAGGGGAAACGGUCUAGAUUCUACGUGAUGUGGAUGCUGCUGCAGGGCGUCCCUUUCUUGAUUUUCAGCAGCGGGCAGUCCAGUCUCCAGUCUAUGGCUGUGGCUUGUGACAGAGAGAAUUAAUUCUUUUCGAGCUGUUUUCCUGGAGGGUUCCAAGGUUGCUUCCGGCGAAGAGGCACACGAAGACGUUGAAAUCGAAGGCAACUUCCUUUACCCUUGUUUUCCUCUUAUAUAUGGUGUCAACCAACAUGGAGGCAAAUGCAACGCACCUAAAAAAGUGGAACCACUUUCAUCAAAACCAUUAUUAUUACAGUAUAUUUUAUGUUAUUUUGUUUUGUUUUAGUAUUAGUCUUUGUGUAAUGAUUUUUCCACCUUGAAUUCCUGCUCGUCAACACAAGGAAAAAAAAAACAGAGGAGGAAAGAAGUUCAAGGCUUUGGAACAAUUCAACACGGUUUUCUGCGUUCAGCGACACCGACGGCCGGACGGAAAAGGAUACUUGGAGAUAUGUGGUGCGGUGUGUCACACCCUUUUGGAAUUUGCUGUGGAAAGUCACGGCUAGUGGACAUCUUGGUGAGCUUUUUUGUCCCUACUCCGGCACUCCAUUGCUGAGGCUGUGAAUGAUGGAUGAUGCGCUCGCUCGCCUUUUACCGUUUCAAUGCAAGCGGACGUCGGUGUCAGUGGAGCCUACGUUGCCUGCGACCGAGGCAAUGCUUCACCUUCGCUGCUCACUUUCCCUGCUUGGAUCAUCUCAUCUGGGUUUCUAAUUAGUACUGUACUAAAGUUGGUAUAAAGUUGGGUCAUCUAUUUUGGAACGGAGGGAGUAGAACAGUGGGGAAAUGCUGGUGCGGAAUUCCUUGGUUUUCGGACGGGACGUCCAAGAUAGACAUGCCUGGUUCAAGCUAAAUACAGGUCAAAGAUUUUGUGUUCAACAGUUUGUUUGUUUUCUCCUUGCCUUAACCGCGCACAUAUUUAUUUUCUGUAAUAAAAUAUGUGUGGCUGCGAAAGGGUUGACCGGGGUCAAGAGUGAGUGGCUUCUUUUC